UUGUAAUCUAUUCUAGAAGCUGUAGCUCCAUAUAGUGUAUCAUUGUUGUUCGUACAGUGAGUUCAUAUAGAAUGCUUGAUCACAUGAAUUUGUCUGAAUGUAUAUUAUAGUUUCUUGGUGUUUAAUUUAUAAUACAUUGAUGAUGGAUUUAUGGUCCUAUGGCUUCUGUAAAUUUUAGUAGUUCUUUUGAGACUGUUUUUUUACAGUGAGAUGAUAGUGAAUUUUCCAGUGGCCACCGCUUUCUGAGAUCACCAUCACUACCUAGCACUCUGAUUUUGCUAUAACUGUUGUCCUCCUAAUAGGUACUAUACUUUCUCCUUCUACUUCUUUUGUUUUGCCAUGUUCGUUACAGUUCAUUGUGAUUCUUUUAUAUUCAUUGUACCUCUUCUUGUUUGCUGUUCUCGAUGCUGCAACAUUGGUAACUGAGAAUCCGGCGACAAUCAAAUAGAACUCGAAGAAUUCUUGUCCUUCUCUUCUGUUGAACUCCAUUUCCAGCUUCAUUAUUACUCUCUUUAUGUUCCACACAUGUGGCACAUUGUCUGAAGUGUAUGAAUUUCCCCAUAACAUGAUGGAUCCUUCAUCUUCAGCUAACUUGCAGCAAUGCAGCAAGUGUAUGCUUUUUAUUUAUUUAUUUUCUUCAGGAAUUUUUGUUGCUGAUGCAACCUGAAUAUGUGUUUACAUAUCAUUUUCUCUACUUGAUAUUUCUUAAUUACCUUGUCCAAGCUUAGAUUGUCAAGAAGUCAUACUUUCCAGGGAUUUGAAGAAGCUGGAUCAAUACAAGCUUUAUGUAGAGAAACUUUAUGUAGCUUGCUGUCUUGCUGUACAUUGUCUGAAGCUUUAUGUAGCUUGAUGUCUUGUUGUA